CUCUGAUUUAUAUACUGGUUACCAAUGUAGAUGACAAAUUUGUGUCAUUCAUGACAAUUACACAGAAUCAAUAUGAUAUAUGCGAUCAUUCUUGGAUGAAAUUAAUAUUACUUUAAUAUUACACUUUUUGAAACCAUUUUUAUCAAUUUUCAAUUUCAUGUGUUGUUUCCGUAAAUGUUCUGUUUCAUUGCUCAUGUGUUGUUUUCGUAUAUUUUAGCCGCUCGUCUUGAGCCUACUCAUUUGAAUCGAUAACACCCCAUAUAGCAAUAAAAUUAUACUUUUAUUGCCAUUCAUAACUCUUAACAGACCAAUUAACAGACCGGGUUUUAUACAUCCGACCCAUUAACAGACCAAGUUUUAA
rnacentral:lncRNA from 1 species